rnacentral:rRNA from 1 species
ACUUUGGUGGCGACCGGCGCACGGGUGCGUAACGCGUAUGCAACCUACCUUUAACAGGGGCAUAACACUGAGAAAUUGGUACUAAUUCCCCAUAACAUUCGAGAAGGCAUCUUCUUGGGUUAAAAACUCCGGUGGUCAAAGAUGGGCAUGCGUUGUAUUAGCUAGUUGGUGAGGUAACGGCUCACCAAGGCAACGAUACAUAGGGGGACUGAGAGGUUAACCCCCCACAUUGGUACUGAGACACGGACCAA